CAACACGAAGCGACCAUUGGAAUUCUGAACUUUGUCCUUCAGAAAUAUGGAUACCUGGGAAAAAAUACACUGCUUGUCAUUUUUCUUGAUGCAUGACUUCCAUGUAAAAAAAGGGGAGAAAUGAGGGGGCCACUGUAAAGAAAGCGCCAGAGGACAGAGGCUGCUGGGGACAUGCCAAGAGGAAACCAAAUGAGGAGAAAGGUGACUUGGUUGCGACAAUUUCACUUUAGUUACAUUUUGAGUGGGAGGAAGGCUCAAGGUUAUCCAGAGCCACUUGCCAAAUUGGAACUAGAAAAAUAAAAACAGGAUCCCACCCCC